rnacentral:rRNA from 1 species
CCCCUAGACGUUCUGGGCCGCACGCGUGCUACAAUGACGGUGGCAACGAGCGUUAAUCUGACCCGAAAGGGUUCUGGAUAAACUUUGAAACACCGUCGUGCUGGGGAUCGAUUAUUGUAAUUUUUAAUCGUCAACGAGGAAUGCUUAGUAGGCGUAAGUCAUCAGCUUGCGCCGAUUGCGUCCCUGCCCUUUGUACACACCGCCCGUCGUUUCUACCGAUGAGCGAUCUGGUGAACGCGGAGGAGGCAGCCCUGUGCGCUCAAAUCCGUGUGAAUCAUAUUGCUUAGAGGAAGAAAAAGUCGUANCA